rnacentral:lncRNA from 1 species
CUCUGCUUUCAAAUCUUUCUGUUUGAACCCGUCGAACUGGAACAUAUCAAUUAUUGGUAAUAUAAAUUAUUUGGAAAACAAAAGGUCCUGGAAUGAAGUAUUUUUUUUAUCAACAGCAUUGUCCUAUAUUAGUUAUAAAUACAGUUGAAUUCUUUGAUUCACUGUUUUAUGUCAUGCCCGCUAACAAAUUGAAAACUGUACCUAUACACCUUAUUUUUAGUCCAGAUU